rnacentral:rRNA from 1 species
GAUGAAUGCUGGCGGCGUGCCUAAUACAUGCAAGUCGAGCGGCAGCGAGGGUCUCAUCCUAUUCUGGAAGCUUUCGAGAAUAGAAUGAGAUCUGUCGGCGAGCGGCGGACGGCUGAGUAACGCAUGGGAACGCACCCCAAACUGAGGGAUAACUAGUCGAAAGAUUAGCUAAUACCGCAUGUGAUCUUCGGAUUAAAGCUUUCGGGCGGUUUGGGAGCGGCCUGUGUACGAUUAGAUAGUUGGUGAGGUAAUGGCUCACCAAGUCGACGAUCGUUAGAUGGUUUGAGAGGAUGAUCAUCCAGACUGGGACUGAGACACGGCCCAGACUCC